AUACGUAGGGGACGAGCGUUGUCCGGAAUUACUGGGCGUAAAGGGCGCGCAGGCGGAUAUUUAAGUCAGCUGUAAAAGGCAUGAGCUCAACUCAUGUAUGCGGUUGAAACUGGGUAUCUAGAGUGCUGGAGAGGUAGGCGGAAUUCCCGGUGUAGCGGUGAAAUGCGUAGAUAUCGGGAAGAACACCAGUGGCGAAGGCGGCUUACGGGCCAGCAAGUGACGCCGAGGCGCGAAAGCCAGGGGAGCGAACGGGAUUAGAUACCCCGGUAGUCCGGGCCGUAAACGAUGAAUGCUAGGUGUGGGUGUCGAGAGGCAUCCGUGCCGGAGUUAACGCGAUAAGCAUUCCGCCUGGGGAGUACGAUCGCAAGAUUGAAACUCAAAUGAAUUGGCGGGG
rnacentral:rRNA from 1 species